CAGUUACGUUUUAUCGAGUGGAACCAGGAGGAAAGGUGGUGAUGGGAUUAAGGAAACAGCUCCAAAGAAUCUAGUGUUGAUGAUCACAGCUUCAGCUGAAGAGUGUAAAUAUAUGUGUUCUUGGACACUGAGGAUUGUCCGAUUGUGUCUGUGACUAUCUACUAGAAUUUUGUUUUAAAAUUUGUCAGCCUUUUCUUCUUAAAUUUUCAUGGUAAAUACUUCAAUUGUAUAUAUAUUUCCUGGUGGCUCAACUCCAUAGGAGUAUUAUGUAAACUAAUGAUAGUUGUUCCUUUUUGAA